UUCUCCGCUGAGCUUUCACAACCUCCCCCCGCCUCUCUCUCCCCCCCUCCCAUUCCUACAAAUCUGGUGGGCGCUGUUCGCCGCGGCGGGUCUCUCGCGCGCUAACAACCUCAAAACCCUAGCUCCCUCCACACCCGCGACCCAGUCAGGAGCUCGAUUGGAUCGCCCGCGAGCCUCUCUCGGUGUCUGAAGCCAGGCGCGUCGUCGGCUCUCGGUGUCUCUGCAGCUGUCGCCGUGCCGUGCCUAUCUCCACCGCCGACGCGUCGAUCCCCUCACCAAACAUCCCCCCGUCUGUGACGCGUGUCGACGCCAUCGCCGUUCCCGUUCUUCCUCGUCGGGGCAUCCAGGCGUUCCUCCUGUCUCCACCCCCGUCUGCAAUCGACUUUGGCCAUUUGUUUUCGAGGAACUGUUGAUCUUUUCAUUCUUCUGUUUAUUGCUUCAAGUCAUUUGUACCUUGAGAGAGUGCCACUUUACUUGCAGGAUCAUUGCCUUUUGUUUGGCCUGAAUGGUGCAAUUGGAAGUUUUGAGUAGAAACUGAGGUUCAGUUCAAAACUUCUCCAUACUCACUUCAUACAUACUGGCGAGAAAUGGAUCGUGAUGAUGUAUCUGGUUUUGUUAGCGGAGGUUGCAAGCUGUUCUGAGUUUUCUAACCCUGUAGAAGUUAAUAAAGUUAUGAUACCAGGAAGUAAGGCAGCUGGUUCUUUUCAUUUACUAAUUGGUUGAAGUUUAAUGGUUCCGAAUUGGAAUGGACAAAACUUCUCGUGGUCUUGGAUUUGGUGAUAGUAUCAACUCCUUAAAUACUUCCCAUCAUCAGAGUACAGUCCAACACUCUGCUCAUCUUAAAGAUACCACACUUGAGUCCACAGCAUAUUCCAGCUUUUCUAUCGCUUACGGAAAAGCCCCGAAAAGGAAGUGGAGUACUAUGGCAGGAGCAGAAGGUUCUGGGAAUCCAUUACUCACUCUGGGCAUAGGCCGUUCACCAAGUUCAUCUGACAAUAGCAAAGUAAGCUCUGCUACAGCUUAUGCAAUGUCUCCAUCUUCGCUAAAGGAGGCUGAUGAGGAGUCAUCGGUAGAUCUUAGCUUGAAUUUUGAGCUUUGUCUUGGCAAUGAUGUUGUGCACUUUCAGAAGAAACCCUCUUCUGGUUUGUUGGCCAGCUCUCCUAAACUGGAUCUUCAGUUGAGUUUAUCCACUGGCUCACCUGAAUCAGCUCUCACCUAUACAAAUAUGGUGUCACCAAAUGUUCAUGAUGGCUUGGACAUACCAGUGACCAACUCAUCGCCAGCCGUUAUAGGGAAAGGGCCAGUACUAUCUAAUUGGGGUUUUGAGCAUUCUGUGGUUUCUUCGUCGUAUGCGUCUGAAGCAACAUGUGCCUUUCCGUAUUCAAAGAUAAGCAGAAAAGAUGAAGGGACUUUGUCUUCUCCAGUCAUAUCACCAACUAUGCUAACAAGUUUGAAAAGCCCGGUUGCCUGUACUUCUGUGGUAACUAAUACUCAACAGCGCAAUAUUAAUACUAAAACGUGCCAGUUCCCUGGAUGUGGUAAAGGAGCAAGAGGGGCGUCAGGACAUUGCAUAGCCCACGGUGGUGGUAGGAGAUGCCAGAAACCUGGUUGCCAAAAGGGUGCUGAGGGAAGGACCAUAUACUGCAAGGCCCAUGGUGGAGGGAGGAGAUGUGAAUUUCUCGGGUGUACGAAGAGUGCUGAAGGGCGCACAGAUCACUGCAUAGCCCAUGGUGGUGGUCGCCGCUGCAGUAAUGAUGGUUGCUCCCGUGCUGCACGUGGGAGAUCUGGCUUGUGCAUCAGGCAUGGAGGCGGGAAAAGGUGUCAGAAGGAGAACUGCACCAAGAGCGCAGAAGGUCAUUCUGGCCUCUGCAUCUCUCAUGGAGGCGGGAGACGUUGCCAGUUUCCGGAAUGCGCAAAGGGUGCACAGGGAAGCACAAAGUUCUGCAAGGCUCAUGGUGGAGGAAAGCGCUGCACAUUCUUGGGCUGCACCAAAGGAGCUGAAGGGAGCACUCCUUUUUGCAAGGGCCAUGGUGGAGGCAAGCGCUGCUUAUAUGAGGGGGGUGGUGUCUGCCCCAAGAGUGUGCAUGGUGGGACUCAAUAUUGUGUUGCCCAUGGAGGUGGGAAGAGGUGUGCCAUUUCUAAUUGCACCAAGAGCGCUAGAGGGCGGACGGAGUACUGUGUACGCCAUGGAGGUGGCAAGAGAUGCAGGUUUGACGGCUGUGCAAAGAGUGCGCAGGGGAGCACUGAUUUCUGCAAGGCGCAUGGGGGAGGCAAACGGUGCUCAUGGGGCUUGCCGGACUCAAACUUUGGUUUUGGCACAGAGCAAUGUGAUAAAUUUGCUCGGAGCAAGACUGGUCUCUGUUCAGCUCACAGUGCUCUAGUGCAGGACCACUGCGUUCAUGGCGGUGGUACAUUAGGCCCCGUAGUCCACCAGUUUGCCACAGAUGCCAAACCCGACGAGAUGGAAGUUGCUUCUUGGAAGAUUGAUCCUGCUUCGACACAGCCAGAGUCUUGUUCUGUGGAUCCGAUGCCGGAGGGCAGAGUGCACGGAGGCAGGAUGCUGGCUCGACUUUCUCGCGAUGGAAGCCAUGCAAGCGUUGGCAACUCGGAGAGCGGUGCUUCUGUCAUGAUGGCGUGGAUGUGAGAAGGAGCUUCUCAUGAAGAAUUGGUUGCUUGAAGUUUUGAUCUGUUUCAAGAGUUUCUGCUGUGGCGAAAUAAAGUAAGUUCCCCAUUUCACCAGUUGUCCUGAUCAUUUGAAUCUGAUACUAGGAUUUAUCCUCCAUGUACUAUAAAUAAGGGAGAGCGUUGUCGGCUUCUCUGUUAUUAUUGUAAUUAAUUAAAGUUGUCAAACUGUCCUUGCUGUGUCAGUCUGUAAUCUUCUGCUCCUCGGUUCCUAUUUGGAUAUCUGCUAUUUGCUUUGUGUUGGUAAAUUUUGAUGUAUGUUUGGUAAUAGUGCAGUAUAAAUUGAUUGGACUAUUAUUUCAGAUAA